GUCGACUGCGCAUCCUAUAAUGCAGUCGAGCGCAGGAACCGUCUGACCCUUCGGGGGGACGACGGCGGAAUGAUCAGCGGACGGAUGAUUACCAGGUAAGGAACCUGCCCUUACGUCUGGAAUGCCCACGACAAAUCGGGGCUAAUACCGAAUGUGUCGGCUCACCGCUGGGUCCGCUGAUGAAAGGCCCUUCGUCGUCGCCCCUGGAUGGCUUUGCGGAGCAUUACCUAGUUGGCGGGGUAACGGCCCACCAAGGCGACGAUCCAUAGCCGACCUGCGAGGACGAUGGGCCACCCUGGGACUGAGACACCGCCCAGACUCCUACGGGAGGGAGCCUUAGGCAAUCUUCCACAAUGGACGAGAGUCUGAUGGAGCAACGCCUCGUGAACGACGAAGGCUUUCGGGUCGUAAAGUUCUGUUAACAGGUAAGAACAAGUGCCGCUGGCAAUGGAAGCACCUUGACCGAACCUUGCGCGAAAACCACCGGUAACUACGUGGCAGCAACCGCGGUUAGGAUUUAGUGGCCAGCGUUGACCGGAAUUAUUGGGCGUAAAGCGCAUGCAAGCGGCCUCUUAUGACUGAUGUGAAAGCACCCGGCUCAACCGGGGAGGGCCAUUGGAAACUGGGAGGCUUGACUAUAGGAGACAUUAGUGGAAUUCCACGUGUUGCGGUGAAAUGCGUGAGAGAUGUGGAGGAACACCAGUGGCUAUGGCGACUCUUUGCGCAAUAACUGGACGCUAAAGCGCGAAAAACAAGCCGAGCAAACAGGAUUUGGAUACUCCUGGCAGUCCACCGCUUAAGCCAUGAGGUGCUAGGUGUUUCGAGCGCUUUCCCGCCCUUACAUACCGGCAUUUAACACACUGACACUCCAGUCUGGCGAGUAUGGUCUCAAUGUUAAAAAUUUAAAGGGAGCUGCCCCGGAUCCCUCACAACAGAGGAUUAUAUGAAAAUAUUCCCGACGAAC
rnacentral:rRNA from 1 species